rnacentral:pre_miRNA from 1 species
AAUAACUUCAUUUUUCAGUUUUUUCAUACAAUAUUUUGACUAUUCGUCUUAUUUGAAAUUUUUUUACGAUUAAUAUUUUUAUUGUUACUAGAAGAUAAAAUAUGAAUAGUACUUAUGCGUGACUAAUUUUUUUAAGUUUUUGUACAAAUUUUUUAAAUAAGACGAAUAGUCAAACGUUGGAUAUGGAAAAAC